AACGAACGCUGGCGGCAUGCUUUACACAUGCAAGUCGAACGGUAACAGGGUGCUUGCACCGCUGACGAGUGGCGAACGGGUGAGUAAUGCGUCGGAACGUGCCGAGUAGUGGGGGAUAACGCAGCGAAAGUUGUGCUAAUACCGCAUACGUACUGAGGUAGAAAGUGGGGGACCUUCGGGCCUCACGCUAUUCGAGCGGCCGACGUCUGAUUAGCUAGUAGGUGAGGUAAAGGCUCACCUAGGCGACGAUCAGUAGCGGGUCUGAGAGGAUGAUCCGCCACACUGGGACGGGGACACGGCCCAGACUCCUACGGGAGGCAGCAGUGGGGAAUUUUGGACAAUGGGCGAAAGCCUGAUCCAGCCAUGCCGCGUGUCUGAAGAAGGCCUUCGGGUUGUAAAGGACUUUUGUCAGGGAGGAAAUCCCUAGCGUUAAUACCGCUGGGGGAUGACAGUACCUGAAGAAUAAGCACCGGCUAACUACGUGCCAGCCGCCGCGGUAACAC
rnacentral:rRNA from 1 species